rnacentral:lncRNA from 1 species
CCACUACUAUUCCGACAUAUAUAACUGAAACGCUUUCUCACCUGCCAAACAAUCAGAAUACAAUUCCAACCCCUUCCCCAUACAUCAAUGGGUCACCAUCGACAAUUUCUCAAAGGCAACAACAACAAACACCCUCCUUUUCUCCUUCACUGCCUCUUCCCCACCACCCCAAAAUCGAAAACCCUAAUCCACCAUAGCCUACUGCUAGCUUGUCCGAGAUUCGGCCAUUUCUUGCCUAAUCAACCUGUGACUCUAACAACUCAGAAAAAAGCAGUCCCUAAUUUGUAUAACAACGAAAAAAGAAUUCAAAUACACCAUCAAUGGCCUGAAAAUAUUGAAGAUUCGAAAGAGGAUUAAUUUUAGGGGAUUCACUUCAAAUUUCAAAUUAUUUUUCUCACAUUUUGUGAAUUUUUAGUUUCAAAUCCAGACUUUAAGUCUGAAUUUACACCUAUAAAUAUGGGUGUUGUCAUACCCAUCGGGAAAAGGCAUCAGAAGUCAAAAGGGAAGAAAAGGAGGGUUAAAAAAGAGAAAAUGAGUGAAGAAAAGGGCCGAAAAAAGAAGUUGAAGUUCAAAAGUCAGUGAUGGUGUAAAAAUAAAAGGAGUAGAAACAUAGGGAAAAUCGCCUAACACUUGCCCAGUUAAACAACCUGAAGUAUUUUCGUAAAAAUCCACAAAAGUGUCAUAAAAUCAUAGGCCGUUUCUUGAUUUUGGCCUAUGUUCGGGUUCACCAAGUUUGAGGUGGUCGCUGGAAAAUCCUUAUGGUCGAAGUCUAAGUUUUGCUGCACCAAAAAGGUGCGAAUUUUCCCUUUUAAUGUUGUUUCUUCAUCUCUUUUAUUUUCUUCUCGGUUGUUCUAUGAACGUGUGAUGGCGAUCCAUUCUCAAAUUUGUUGUGGAAGUUUUUUUUUGUUACCUUAGAGGCUAAAGAUGGUUUUGAUUCUAAAAAUGGGUUUAUAGGUAAAUUGCGGUGAAAGUCUAAAGUUGCUAAUGAAUUUUGGAAAUUGGGUCCGUAUGUGAGCGUUGACCAACAUUAUUUUAUUGUUGUUACUUCUGGGAAACUGAUUUCGUGAAUAUGUAAUCUUUAACUUUAAUUAUGUUAUGAUGGUGGUGUUGUCCGAUUAUUUGUGAAUUGGUUUCAUCCAAAAAUGGAUUUCAUACCGUGGAAAGUUAAUUGGUGUGAAAAUCAUCCUAUCUUCUUAUUUUCGUAUUCGGCUAACUAUGUAUGUGUGUUGAUAUUGCUAUUUAUUCCACCUGUAAAUCAAAUUCAUGAGCUCAAUUUUUUUCAGUCAGAAUCUGUACUUUUUAAAAUAUGUGAUUUUAUCAGUUUAGGUUGUUUUCUGUAGGCUUGCGGAUAAAAACAUAGUUUUUAUUUUGUGAAGCUAUUUUGUGGGUGAAAAUGCGAACAUAUGGGUCCGUGGGCAUGUGAACUUGCACGUUUAUUUUGUUUUGGGAUUGUUGGUUGUUUCUUGUUGCAAAUCGAGUUCAUAAGUAGUUAAUUUUGAUUCUGGGAACCACUGGUCGUAUUUUCUAAGUUUCUAUGUGAGCCUGAUCUUUAUUCUCGACCUGUCUUGACUUUAUUGCCGCCUUUAUUGCGUAAAUAUGCGAUAGAAAUUUUGUUUAAGUCCAUUUGUUGCUAUUUUUCAUUACAUGAACAUUUGAGUUCAUGGUAAAUAUGCGAUAGAAAUUUUGUUUAAGUCCAUUUGUUGCUGUUUUUCAUUACAUGCACAUUUGAGUUCAUGGUAUGGUUUCAUUUUUUUCUGUCGUUCCAAUACGUGCGAAUUUCGCCCUCCUUUUGUUCAUUUUCAUCAUCUUUCCUGCAUGUUUUGUGGAUUCUGUUGAUUCAAUCAAGCCUAUGUUGUUGUUGCGAUAGAUAAAUAUAAGUUUUAGAUUUUAAAAAUAGGAAUCACAAAUACUGCAUACUAUUUCUACUACUAUAUUUUUUCAUUAUAUUUUGAGUUCUCUUGUAAUCUGAAUUGAGUUUGAGUUUCAAGUCUGAAAAAUAUGACCCCGAAGCUUCAGUUUUUCUGGUCAACAGCAGAUAAAACUCCCUCUGUUUCUUUUAUAACUAUUUCGUAUAAUCUUAAUAUAUGAAUGUAUUCAUGUGUUUGACUGUUCGACGAAAUUGGUUUAGUAGUAUUUUACUAUCCAAAGUUCGCUAAUGUUCUAAUACAGUUUCGUAUUUGAGGCUGCAUUUCCAGUUUAGCUGUAAGAGUUGAUUUGAAUAAAAAAAAUGGGCUAAUAAUAAUAGUGGUUUCCUAGAGUAAAAGGAAUACUAAUACAUAUGUGAUUCACAUAGAAAAUGUAGCUUUUUUUUUUUUAGGUCUUCUUUUUCCUCUCUUUUGACUUUUCUACGGUAUUUUGUGUACACAAGGGUACACGACUUUUCUUUGUUAAAUUAGUUGAGUUGGGUUGUGAUUAUUCAAUCAUAUAAUUUAUCUGUAGCUUAUAGAAUAUUACACACUUUGUUUGAGAGAUUGCUAAAUAUGUAAAAGUGGGUUUUUCCAUUCAAGCAUGGGGAUUUCUCUGUCCUUAUUCUCAAGCUAAAGGUUUUGGCAUACUUAUAUGUUGAAAUAUUUAAUUAUUUUCAUUUAGUUAAGUCCCGGAGUUUAUGAUCUUAGUUCAGCUGACCAUAUGAAUAAUUUUUAGUCAUUAACCAACUUAAUGGUCUAUACUUGUGCGUUGAAAUCUGUUGAGUCAUCUUAUGACUUAUGUCUCGUCAAAACUCAUUUGAUCAUUUUCUAGUUAAAGUGCUCUAACAAAUUCUGGAAAAUUGAAUCCCCAAGGUCCAUAUUCACCCACUAUUCGUACGAGAUUUUCUACAUGGUUAGACCAUGAAAUAUUUGAUAAGAAGGGACCGUAAUUUUGCAGUCUCUUAAGUGUCCUAGCUGGAUGUAUUGCUUUAUGAUGUCCGACUGGUACUUUAUAUGUUUAAGAAGUUUGUUUCUAAUGAUUUCUUACUCAUUUAAAACUUGGAUGAUGGUGUGCAAAACUAUUAUUGGAUUGGUUAAGGUCUUGUUUAAGUUCGGAAGAUAGUUUAAAUUAUUUAUCUCAUAUGUUCAUUUUGUUGAGAUUAAGAUUAUGCUAAUUUUUUUUAUAUCAUUUUUUUUCACAUGUAAACUCGGACCGCAUUUGAGUUCAAAAGAACUCCAUCCCUAUCCAGAUUGGAGCUUGUGUCCGCUAUUACCUCUCCUUGGCCGAGUCUUGCUUUCCUCCGAGCUACUCAACACAAAUGAAUUCUAUUAGAGAAUCUAACGCCUUUCCAGUUUAGUUGUUCUUUCUUGCUUAAUUAUAUUGAUGUUAUUGUUUACUAGCACUUCUUGUGAAUUAUACUGGUCACUUGUUUGGUUUUAUAUUUUAACCCUUAUGAAUAUCCUAGACACGUACUGAUGGACAUGGUUAUUUAUUUACUUCAUCCCAUUAGAAGUUGAUUUUGUACUUAUUAGUUUAAGCUCAGCUAAAAAGUUUUGAUGAAAUUAGCCUUUGAUAACUUUUUAUAAUAUGUAUAUACAUUUUUUGGACUAAGCUAAAUUGAAAAAUCAUUUGCAAGGUAUACUAUUUUCAACUAUAUUUUAGAUUGUGUGUUGAUUUUAAAAAAAUAAUAAAAUAAAAUAAAAUGGAGCUCCAAUGAGCAGAUUCCCUUUUAGAACCUAUAAUGUAGUCUUGAAGGAUAAAUGCUUGCUAUGAAAAUGUCUAAACAAUGUUUUUUUUAACCCCAUUAAUUUUUAAUUAAUGUGCUAGAUAUUUUCUAAAGAUUGUCUUAUCUUAUUACGUACGCAUACAUUUAUUACACCAAAUAAUGUUUCUACCUUAUAUAGUAACCUCUUGAUAUCUAUUACUCGUUUAAAAAAGAAUGAUCUAUUUUUCUUUUUAGUUCGUAUUUUUUUUUUAUAAUACUUUAAUUUCAACUUACAUAUUUAGGACCACAAGAUUAAAGGACAUUUUGAUACAUUUGACACAACUUUAAUUUAAGGCCACAAGAUUGAAUUUUUUUUUUCUUAAAUUUUGUGUCAAGUCAAAGUAGUUCAUUCUUUUUUAGAAUAAGGACAGAGAAAUUCUAUGCUUAUGUUGAAAUACAAUACUCGCAAUAAAUUGAGAUUUUAGUGAUUAUCACAACAAGAUAAGUUGUGGCAGAAAUCACUUGCACAACUUCUCCAACAUGUUAUGACAGAAAUUAAUUAGUUUUUACGGAGUGUAACCUUCUUAUAUAGUGGUAAAUUGUUAUGGCAUUAGAACUUCUAGAUUAGUUGCAGUUGGUACAAUAUUCUUUUCUAUAUAUAUAUAUAAUUGUUAAUUGAUUAUUCAUUUUCUAUUUAUAUUUAUCAAUCAAUUUUGUCAUGCUUUCCUUAAUUGACUUACAAUGAAUGAAAUCAUAAAUACUUUUUGUCAUAUAAAUAUUCAUUUUAUGGUAAUAAUUCAAUUGCAUAUAUUCUAAUUUAUUAGUAACUCACACCUAAAUAUGUAAAAGUGGGUUUUUCCAUUCAAGCAUGGGGAUUUCUCUGUCCUUAUUCUCAAGCUAAAGGUUUUGGCAUACUUAUAUGUUGAAAUAUUUAAUUAUUUUCAUUUAGUUAAGUCCCGGAGUUUAUGAUCUUAGUUCAGCUGACCAUAUGAAUAAUUUUUAGUCAUUAACCAACUUAAUGGUCUAUACUUGUGCGUUGAAAUCUGUUGAGUCAUCUUAUGACUUAUGUCUCGUCAAAACUCAUUUGAUCAUUUUCUAGUUAAAGUGCUCUAACAAAUUCUGGAAAAUUGAAUCCCCAAGGUCCAUAUUCACCCACUAUUCGUACGAGAUUUUCUACAUGGUUAGACCAUGAAAUAUUUGAUAAGAAGGGACCGUAAUUUUGCAGUCUCUUAAGUGUCCUAGCUGGAUGUAUUGCUUUAUGAUGUCCGACUGGUACUUUAUAUGUUUAAGAAGUUUGUUUCUAAUGAUUUCUUACUCAUUUAAAACUUGGAUGAUGGUGUGCAAAACUAUUAUUGGAUUGGUUAAGGUCUUGUUUAAGUUCGGAAGAUAGUUUAAAUUAUUUAUCUCAUAUGUUCAUUUUGUUGAGAUUAAGAUUAUGCUAAUUUUUUUUAUAUCAUUUUUUUUCACAUGUAAACUCGGACCGCAUUUGAGUUCAAAAGAACUCCAUCCCUAUCCAGAUUGGAGCUUGUGUCCGCUAUUACCUCUCCUUGGCCGAGUCUUGCUUUCCUCCGAGCUACUCAACACAAAUGAAUUCUAUUAGAGAAUCUAACGCCUUUCCAGUUUAGUUGUUCUUUCUUGCUUAAUUAUAUUGAUGUUAUUGUUUACUAGCACUUCUUGUGAAUUAUACUGGUCACUUGUUUGGUUUUAUAUUUUAACCCUUAUGAAUAUCCUAGAC